GACGAACGCUGGCGGCGUGCCUAACACAUGCAAGUCAAGGACUGUAGCAAUACAGGACUGGCGCACGGGUGCGGAACACGUAGGUAAUCUGCCCUUUAGGGGAGAACAACCAGCCGAAAGGUUGGCUAAAUCUCCGUAACAUCACGAUGUGGCAUCACAUUGUAAUCAAGUUUUCUAAAGGAUGAGCCUGCGUCUGAUUAGCUAGUUGGUAGUGUAAGGACUACCAAGGCUUCGAUCAGUAGCUGGUCUGAGAGGAUGAUCAGCCACAUUGGGACUGAGACACGGCCCAGACUCCUACGGGAGGCAGCAGUGAGGAAUAUUGGACAAUGGGCGCAAGCCUGAUCCAGCAAUGCCGCGUGAGUGAUGAAGGCCUUAGGGUUGUAAAGCUCUUUCGGCGGGACGAUGAUGACGGUACCGCAGAAGAAGCCCCGGCUAACUUCGUGCCAGCAGCCGCCGCGGU
rnacentral:rRNA from 1 species